rnacentral:rRNA from 1 species
GUCUACAGCCAUGCCACCCUGAACAAGCCAGAACCCAUCUGAUCUCAGAAGCUAAGCAGGGUCGGGCCUGGUUAGUACUUGGAUGGGAGACCACCUAGGAAGACCAGGUGCUGUAGGCA